rnacentral:rRNA from 1 species
AUUGAACGCUGGCGGCAGGCUUAACACAUGCAAGUCGAGCGGAGAUGAGGUGCUUGCACCUUAUCUUAGCGGCGGACGGGUGAGUAAUGCUUAGGAAUCUGCCUAUUAGUGGGGGACAACAUUCCGAAAGGAAUGCUAAUACCGCAUACGUCCUACGGGAGAAAGCAGGGGAUCUUCGGACCUUGCGCUAAUAGAUGAGCCUAAGUCGGAUUAGCUAGUGGGUGGGGUAAAGGCCUACCAAGGCGACGAUCUGUAGGGGGUCUGAGAGGAUGAUCCGCCACACUGGGACUGAGACACGGCCCAGACUCCUACGGGAGGCAGCAGUGGGGAGUAUUGGACAAUGGGGGAAACCCUGAUCCAGCCAUGCCGCGUGUGUGAAGAAGGCCUUAUGGUUGUAAAGCACUUUAAGCGAGGAGGAGGCUACUGAGACUAAUACUCUUGGAUAGUGGACGUUACUCGCAGAAUAAGCACCGGCUAACUCUGUGCCAGCAGCCGCCGUAA